ACGGUCCUAAGGUAGCGAAAUUCCUUGUCGGGUAAGUUCCGACCUGCACGAAUGGCAUAAUGAUGGCCAGGCUGUCUCCACCCGAGACUCAGUGAAAUUGAAAUCGCCGUGAAGAUGCGGUGUACCCGCGGCUAGACGGAAAGACCCCGUGAACCUUUACUAUAGCUUGACACUGAACAUUGAAUUUUGAUGUGUAGGAUAGGUGGGAGACUUUGAAGUAGUCACGCCAGUGAUUAUGGAGUCGUCCUUGAAAUACCACCCUUUAACGUUUGAUGUUCUAACGAAGAUUGCGAAACGCGGUCUCGGACAGUGUCUGGUGGGUAGUUUGACUGGGGCGGUCUCCUCCCAAAGCGUAACGGAGGAGCACGAAGGUUUGCUAAUCACGGUCGGACAUCGUGAGGUUAGUGCAAUGGUAUAAGCAAGCUUAACUGCGAGACAGACAAGUCGAGCAGGUACGAAAGUAGGUCAUAGUGAUCCGGUGGUUCUGAAUGGAAGGGCCAUCGCUCAACGGAUAAAAGGUACUCCGGGGAUAACAGGCUGAUACCGCCCAAGAGUUCAUAUCGACGGCGGUGUUUGGCACCUCGAUGUCGGCUCAUCACAUCCUGGGGCUGAAGUAGGUCCCAAGGGUAUGGCUGUUCGCCAUUUAAAGUGGUACGCGAGCUGGGUUUAGAACGUCGUGAGACAGUUCGGUCCCUAUCUGCCGUGGGCGUUGGAGAAUUGAUUGGGGCUGCUCCUAGUACGAGAGGACCGGAGUGGACGCAUCACUGGUGUUCCGGUUGUGUCGCCAGACGCAUUGCCGGGUAGCUACAUGCGGAAGAGAUAAGUGCUGAAAGCAUCUAAGCACGAAACUUGCCAAGAGAUGAGUUCUCCCACACAUCAAGUGUGUAAGGGUUGUUUAAGACUAAGACGUAGAUAGGUGCGGUGUGUAAGUGUAGUGAUACAUUGAGCUAACGCAUACUAAUUGCCCGAGAGGCUUAGCCAU
rnacentral:rRNA from 1 species